rnacentral:rRNA from 1 species
AUUGAACGCUGGCGGCAGGCUUAACACAUGCAAGUCGAGCGGAGAGAGGUAGCUUGCUACUGAUCUUAGCGGCGGACGGGUGAGUAAUGCUUAGGAAUCUGCCUAUCAGUGGGGGACAACAUUUCGAAAGGAAUGCUAAUACCGCAUACGUCCUACGGGAGAAAGCAGGGGAUCUUCGGACCUUGCGCUAAUAGAUGAGCCUAAGUCGGAUUAGCUAGUUGGUGGGGUAAAGGCCUACCAAGGCGACGAUCUGUAGCGGGUCUGAGAGGAUGAUCGGCCACACUGGGACUGAGACACGGCCCAGACUCCUACGGGAGGCAGCAGUGGGGAAUAUUGGACAAUGGGCGCAAGCCUGAUCCAGCCAUGCCGCGUGUGUGAAGAAGGCCUUAUGGUUGUAAAGCACUUUAAGCGAGGAGGAGGCUACUUUAGUUAAUACCUAAAGAUAGUGGACGUUACUCGCAGAAUAAGCACCGGCUAACUCUGUGCCAGCCGCCGCGGUAAAAC